AGCGCCUUUAUCUGAUUAUCUCUCUCUCCCUCCCUUUUUUAUUGUUCAGUAUCUUUUAGCAGUUGAACUCACACAAACGCACUUAUACUGACUCAUCCAUGGCCUCUGCAACUCUCUCCUUCUCUCCCACUCGCACUCCCACUCGCGUCCGCACACGCGCAACCGCACUCAAUCCCAAACUCUCCUUUACUUUUCUCCACCAAUCACACCCUUUCCCGCCAUUCCCACUCACAACAACCACAACGCUGCCCAAGAAGACGAGCUCAAUUUCGUUUGCUUACGUGUCCGCACCCGCGUCCGACCCGAGUGUCAGCGAGCCCGAGCCCAGAAUCGACGGGUCGGGUCCACUGACCGAAAAAGACCGGGCACCGGCGCCGAAUCCGAUAAGCUGGGGGCUAUUGUGGACUCUGUUGAGUAGGCACAAGCUGAGGCUCGCGAUUUCGGUUUUCGCUCUCGUUGGCUGCACCACUUGUACUCUCUCUAUGCCCAUAUUUUCAGGUAGAUUCUUUGAAGUACUUAUCGGAGCUAGACCAGAGCCAUUGUGGAGGCUGCUCAGUAAAGUGGGAGUUUUGUAUGCACUGGAGCCAAUUCUAACCGUUAUUUUUGUUAUAAACUUGAAUACUGUAUGGGAGAAGGUUAUGUCAAAACUGAGAGCCCAUAUUUUCAGAAGGGUGCUGAUUCAGAAGGUUGAGUUUUUUGACCGAUACAAGGUAGGUGAACUUACUGGGUUGCUAACAUCUGAUUUGGGUUCUCUUAAAGAUGUUGUGAGUGAGAACAUUUCAAGGGAUCGUGGAUUCAGGGCACUUUCUGAGGUCACUGGGACAAUAUGCAUACUAUUUGCGUUGUCCCCUCAACUUGCACCUAUUUUGGGCCUUCUGAUGCUUACUGUGUCUGUUUCAGUUGCUGUGUACAAGCGAUCAACUGUGCCCGUUUUUAAAGCUCAUGGGUUGGCCCAGGCAUUGAUAUCUGAUUGUGUGACAGAAACAUUUUCUGCUAUUCGUACUGUAAGAUCCUUUGGUGGUGAAAAGCAUCAAAUGUCAAUGUUUGGUAGACAAGUUCUUUCUUAUCAAGCUACUGGCAUAAAGCUUGGGACUUUUAAAUCCAUAAAUGAAUCUUUGACAAGAAUUGCUGUUUAUAUUUCUCUAAUGGCCUUAUAUUGUCUUGGAGGAAGCAAAGUGAAAGCGGGUGAGCUCUCUGUUGGAAUUGUGGCUUCUUUUAUUGGAUAUACUUUCACAUUAACAUUCGCUGUUCAAGGGCUUGUGAACACAUUUGGAGAUCUUCGUGGAACUUUUGCUGCUGUUGAGAGAAUCAACUCUGUUUUAUCUGAGAUUGAAGUUGAUGAAGCCCUUGCAUAUGGUGUAGAAAGAGAAAUGCAGCAAAAAGAAUUGCACAGUGACAAUUAUAAAUUGUUCUUCAUCAAUGAUUAUGAUGAGAAAAUCCUCUCUAGGAAUAUGCAUUAUAUGUCAGCCUUGAAAUCAGCUAGCAACGUGUGUAGCUUAGCUUGGUCUGGUGAUGUUCGUCUUGAAGAUGUGCACUUCUCUUAUCCUUUGAGACCUGAUGUGGAAAUCCUAAAUGGUCUAAAUUUAACUCUCAAAUGUGGAACCGUAACAGCUCUAGUUGGCCCCAGUGGUGCAGGAAAAAGUACAAUAGUACAGCUAUUGGCACGUUUUUAUGAGCCAACCAGAGGUCGUAUAACAGUUGCAGAAGAGGAUCUUCGAACAUUUGACAAGAGUGAAUGGGCACGGGUUGUCUCUAUAGUGAAUCAGGAACCUGUUCUUUUUUCGGUAUCUGUUGGAGAAAAUAUUGCAUAUGGGCUUCCAGACGAUAAUGUAUCCAAGGAUGAUGUGAUAAAGGCAGCCAAAGCAGCAAAUGCUCAUGAAUUCAUAAUUUCACUGCCAAAGGGUUAUGACACACUUGUUGGCGAGCGUGGAGGCCUACUGAGUGGAGGCCAGAGACAGAGAGUUGCUAUUGCUAGAGCUCUGCUAAAGAAUGCCCCAAUCCUGAUACUUGAUGAGGCUACCAGUGCCUUGGAUGCAGUCAGUGAGCGUUUGGUCCAGGAUGCUCUGAACCAUCUGAUGAAAAGCAGGACAACAUUGGUGAUUGCUCACCGAUUAAGCACAGUUCAAAAUGCCCAUCAAAUUGCACUCUGUUCUGAUGGGAGGAUUGCAGAACUUGGUACCCACUUCGAAUUAUUGGCAAGGGGGGGUCAAUAUGCUUCAUUGGUUGGCACUCAAAGGCUGGCAUUUAAGUGACCUUGACAUUGCUUGAAUUUAGAGUUGUUCUAAAUGAACAUGUGUUGGUGUACGUGUGAGGUGCAGAAUUGGAUGAGAAGUUUGAUUAUGCCAUUCUGAAAGCAGAUAACGCCUAGAAGUUGCCAAAGGAUUACAGUACAGUACAGCUGGUGACUCCAACAAACAACAGAAAAGCUUCUGUAAAUUUACUGAUAUAAUAAGACACUUUUACAGGUUGAUAGAUUUCUUAAGCUACAACUUAUUAUAUAGUCAUACGACUCAUACCACAACUCCAUUGAGCCUGAUGUCUAUAGAUUGAAGGCAUCAUGUUGUAAAACAAUGUGAUACUUGAGAAUAAUUGGGUUUUUUCACAAUGCAGCAAAUGCUGAGUGUUCAAAGCCGUA